rnacentral:lncRNA from 1 species
CCCGGCGCUCGGCGCUCGGGGAGGGAUUUUCUAGUGUUUGGAAUUUCAGAGCGUGGAAGGAGGUACCGGCCCUUGAGGCCUCUAACCCUGGCUCCUGCAACGGGAGUACUUGACAAGAAGGGAGAUUGGCGUCGAUGUCAGCUAUGGUAAGACCUGCUAAUCUAAGGUGCCCCCGUUGUAAUAAUGUAACCUAAGGGUGCCCAGCAACUCUGAGAGCAAAGGGUGUUUUAUUUUUUCACAACUUCUUCUUUUGA